CCCUAUCCUCUUCCUUCCGUGACUCCCCAACCCCUAGAUGGUCGGAUGCAUCGCGGAUGCCAGGUUCACCACACUGCCUUCUCGUCUGUGAUUGGGCCACCUCACUAUCUUCGCACUACCCUCCAGAUUCCAUCGACGUAUCUUUUGGACUUAAACCUUCAUUUAGUUAUAUCAAAUUUUGCUUAUAACAAUUUUAGAGCAGCUAAAGCUUUGAACUCAGGAUGUUUAUAUCACAAGCUCAUCUGGAAGCACACAUUACAUGGAUAUUGUGUGAG
rnacentral:lncRNA from 1 species